CAAAAAAAAUACAAUUUUGGAUGCCCCUUUCACGUCUUAUAACUCAGAGGCGGAGCAUUUCGGAUGCCCUGUUGACUAGACGGGGAUGGCUUCUUUUGAGCCCUUCUGCCUCCCCUAUAAGUUUGUCCGGGUUGUUCUGGAACACCCUGUAUAUUGCUAUACAAUAUAGUAUACCUAGGUUUGUAGCAGAAACUCCAUCAUCUGCUAUAAAAUCAGGAAAAAUCAAAACGAUGACAUGAGAAGUAUCAUAUCUUCUUGCUAAGCAUUAUACCUAAGGCAGUAGUCCAUCUCUUUAGCUGUUAACAAUAAUGAUGAUUAAAAAUCAUUUAACAUUUGUACUAUAUAAAUAAUUUCUUUAUUAUUAUAAUAAUGCUUAACUUCAAAGACCAUGUUUUCAUUUCUUGAAAUAAAUCAUUAUUUCAUCAUAAUUUA
rnacentral:lncRNA from 1 species